GGCUCAAUGGUCUAGUGGUAUGAUUCUCGCUUUGGGUCUAUUCUGAAAUGCGAGAGGCCCCGGGUUCGAAUCCCGGUUGAGCCC